AUUACUCUUAGAAUAAUAUAGUGGGGACUGUGGGACCCGUGUUGACUAUUUUUUACUUAUUAAAAUCAAAAAUAUUAUAGGCAAUAAUAAAAGGUUAAAAAGUCACAUAGUAGAAGAAUAUUGGGCUGAAAAAGUAGAAAAGGGUAAAAGGGUUAGUAAUAAUAGUUUAAAAGUAAAAGUUAAUAUGUAAAAGAAUAUAGGAAAGAGUCUUGCUUUGGGUAUAUAAUAGGACUCAUUUAACACUUAAAAGGAAACUGGAUGGAGGGAGAGAGAGAAAUAUUUUUAGUACUAGAGGAAAGAAAGAAAAAAGACUUUUGAAUCUUAAUGAUUUUUUAGUGUUUGAAAGUUAGAAAUAAAAAAAUAUAUGUUCUUCUUCACUGUUAACAAUUGGCAUUAACUGUUAUUGUUCAUUAAAGCUUCAAGCUUCUUUUUCUUAAGUGAUAAAAAUUAGAAGUCAUUUUUUGGCAACUGGGUACUUCUUUGUUGGUCUGGUUCGUUGUCUAUUAUUACUGGUAUUCAAGUAUAGUUACUUGGGUACAUUCUUGGUUGGUUUUACAAUCCAGAAGUUCUUGGUUUUCUUGCUUGGUUGCAAUCUCCUGUGUUUUCUGCUAUUCCCGCUGUUACUGGGUUACUCAUGUGUUGUUGAACUGUUGUUGUUGUGCGUGUGCUGCUAUUGCUUCCUACUGAUCUUCAUCUUCUUUGUAUUCCAAUACCAGGUACACCACUUUGAAUCACUUUGAUGUAGGCCUUGAAGAUGAAAUAAAAUGAUAGAAAUUUAUGUACUUAGUUAUAGUACAUUUGAAUUUUAGUUAAAUAUUAAUUAUAUAUUUUCCUACUAUACGGAUGAUAGAUGUAGUCAAUACGGUAUUCAGAGAAACAU
rnacentral:lncRNA from 1 species